rnacentral:rRNA from 1 species
AUACGUAGGGUGCAAGCGUUAAUCGGAAUUACUGGGCGUAAAGCGUGCGCAGGCGGUUUUGUAAGACAGUGGUGAAAUCCCCGGGCUCAACCUGGGAACUGCCAUUGUGACUGCAAGGCUGGAGUGCGGCAGAGGGGGAUGGAAUUCCGCGUGUAGCAGUGAAAUGCGUCGAUAUGCGGAGGAACACCGAUGGCGAAGGCAAUCCCCUGGGCCUGCACUGACGCUCAUGCACGAAAGCGUGGGGAGCAAACAGGAUUAGAUACCCUGGUAGUCCACGCCCUAAACGAUGUCAACUGGUUGUUGGGGAUUUAUUUUCUCAGUAACGAAGCUAACGCGUGAAGUUGACCGCCUGGGGAGUGCGGCCGCAAGGUUAAAACUCAAAUGAAUUGACGGGG